rnacentral:rRNA from 1 species
GAUGAACGCUGGCGGCGUGCCUAAUACAUGCAAGUCGAGCGAACAGACGAGGAGCUUGCUCCUCUGACGUUAGCGGCGGACGGGUGAGUAACACGUGGAUAACCUACCUAUAAGACUGGGAUAACUUCGGGAAACCGGAGCUAAUACCGGAUAAUAUAUUGAACCGCAUGGUUCAAUAGUGAAAGACGGUUUUGCUGUCACUUAUAGAUGGAUCCGCGCCGCAUUAGCUAGUUGGUAAGGUAACGGCUUACCAAGGCAACUAUGCUUAGCCGACCUGAGAGGGUGAUCGACCACACUGGAAGUUAGACGCGGUCCAGGCUACUACGGGAGGCAGCAGUAGGGAGUCUUCCGCAAUGGGGGAAAGCCUGACGGUGCAGCGCCGCGUGAGUGAUGAAGGUCUUCGGCUCGUAAAACUCUGUUAGUAGGGAAGAACAAAUGUGUAAGUAACUAUACACGUCUUGACGGUACCUAAUCAGAAAGCCACGGCUAACUACGUG